CCGAACCGGCAGCCCGUUCACGGGAGAACGCGGCUGGGUCUGCGGCCAUCCGGCUGCCGGCGUUCGCCCAGCUCGGAGGGACCACCGGCCACCUUCAUGGCCUAGGGGCGGGAAGAUGCUACCAGGCCUGGGGACUCCGGUUGGGUCUAAGCGAGCUGACUGGCUCGGCCUUGGGAAGGGGCUCAGAGUGGCGAGUGCAGCCCGUCCUAGCAUCACCUGUCACCCAGCACACCGUACACACCUCCCUCUUCACCCAUCUCGGAGUCAGGGGAGCUGUGAAGGCAGCAAGGGAAGAAACCAACAACUGAGGCUGGACCAGCAUGGGAGCCUUGAGGUCUGAAAGGCAGUUUAUCACCAAUUCCUAUGAAAGACUGAGCGAGUGCAGUGGGCCUGGUCCCUCCCCUCUGGUAGCCACACCCUCUACUGAUUCCCUUCUGUGAAGGACAGGACCUACAAUUUGCUUCAAACCAACAGAAUACAACAAGAAAACACCUUUUUAAAUUGACAUUGAGAACCUCUGGCCACAAGAACUCUUUUGUAUAUAUAUGUUUGAUCUUCAUAAGAAUCUGUUGAAGAGAUUGUUGGCAUUUUCACUUUAAAGAUGAGGAAACUGUGGCUAAAGAAGUUCUCCAUUUUUCUAAAGCCAAGGGCUCAGUGAGACUCUAGCUGCCUCUCUGCAACCACCGGCAUUGCUGUCCUGUAAACGAUAACAGGAGUGUCUUUCUGGAAUAUGUGAUUCUGCAGGAUGAGAAGAGUGAAUGGUCAUGCCGCCUGUGGGGGCCUUGUAUGCUCCAAGAGUCACCACUGAUGCCCUGAAAUGCCUUUCUGCUCUCUUUGACUCAGAAAUCUAUGUCAACAGCUUUUGGUUGUCCGAUGUACCAGAAAAGGGAAGCAGAGAUACAGAGAUCCUUCCCAAGCCUACUUCUAAAGUUCCACACAUCUCUUUGCCUGCUUCUUUCUUGAAGCACUAUCCCAACUCUGCUGUACGUUACUUGUUUAUUUCUUGUUUAUUUAUUUGCAGUCCUGGGGGUUGAACGCAAGCCUUGUGCAUGCUGAGGAGAACACCCCACCACUGAGCUACAGCCCCAGACCUGCUGUUUGUUUCUUGGUCACAGUCGGCUGCUGGACCAUCAGUUCCUAGAGGGCAACUGCUUCCUUCUCAUCGCUGGGUUUCUUCUGGACCCUGGUUCUGUUGGAAACAAACUUUGAAUUGAAUGAUAUGAAAGUGAGAAUUAACAUUGUACACAACACAAAAUAGGCCACUUUCCUCCGCUUCUUGGGUCAAAAUGUUGUAUGAUUUUUUUUUUCCUCUGUGGAAAGUAAAUAGUGUUUUGCUAACCGUUCCCAAGGAUUAUACUUUUAAUUGGCAUACUUUGCUCCUUUGCAGCCCUGUGCUGACUCUGCAGGUUGGAUCCUGAUACUUUUUCUCUUAUAGUGUGCAGCACACAGAGAUCUACCUACCUGUGCUUUGAAGGCUAGGUUAGAGAGGAGAGGGCUGGGUGGAAAUCACAGGCAAAGGAGAAACAAGGGGGGCUGCACACCCUGCUGGUGGGAGAACAAAGGAAGAGAAGAGCUAUGAGGUUUGGUAGAGUCUGUCAUAUUGAAUUGAGAGGAAGCACUUCUUCGUCUGAUUUUCCUGGGUGAAUCUUUGGGUUAGGAGCAUUGAACAGUGUUUAGUGCUAAUUUACUCUUCAUCUUUUGUUAGAUACCAGGGUAAGAGAUGAAGAUGGGGAGAGGACCAUCAAGAGGGCUGUACUGCCUGUCUCUGGAUGCCAGACUUGAGCUAGGAGAGCUCUGCUCACCCAUGUGACUGAAAGUUAUUACAGCUCCUAGUAUCUGUUUAUGAAAGCAAUACUUAAAAGAGUUCAGUAUGCAAUUCCAAGGGCUAGGUAAGGGUUCCAGUGCCUCACUGGAAGCUUCCUGGGUUGCUCUUAUGCUCAGGGAUUGGAGAUCCCAUACGGAGCCCAGAUCUCCAUGCCCUAUUCUUUGAAUUCCCAGCUGUCCUUUCACAAGCCUGAAUGCUGCUUCUACCACUCAAAAGUCACCUUCUUCCAUUAUUUUCUAGUUUCUGGAAUAGAUGCAGUAGAUGCACACUGCUGAUAAGCUUUCACAUAAUCUAAGUUGUUUUGGCAGCAGGAGGCAGGAGGAAGAUAGGAGAAAGGCAUAGAAAGGGACCUGUGUUGGUAUCUGCUCCUUCCUGUUCACAGGGUUUUGUAGCUUUACAAGGUCUUUGGCAGGCAUUCAUAUGUUUUUGGAGACAGGGUCUCCUUGUAGCCCCAACUGGCCUGGAACCAUGUAGACCGGGCUGGCCUUGAACUCACAGAGAUCCUUCUGCCUCUGCCUCCUGAGUGCUGGGAUUAAAGGUGUGCGCCACCAUGCCCGGCAACAGGCAUUUACCUGAUCAUGAUGGUGUGGUAGCAAAAGAAUCGUGCUCUGUGAUCCAACGUGAAUUCAAGCUCUGCUUUUGUAUUAAACUGUUUCACCUCGUGAGCUAAAUAUGUUUUGAGUGUUUGUACCCUGUGCAAGGCCCCGAGGGAUACAAAGAUGGAAAAGCUAUCUCACCCUUGCCUUUGAGAAAGUCAGCAAUUAAUGGGUAAGCAUGUAAAAAGUGUGAUGAAGGUAUAACAGGAUAAUGUGCAUAAAAGGCAGAGUCUUUAGGUAUUCACCCAGUAAAUUUGAGUAUUAAUUUUCUGUCUUAUUAUUGCU